rnacentral:rRNA from 1 species
GACGAACGCUGGCGGCGUGCCUAAUACAUGCAAGUAGGACGCAGUUGCGAACGGGUGAGUGACGCGUAGGUAACUACCUAUUAGAGGGGGAUAACUCUUGGAAACGAUAGCUCAUACCGCAUACUAGUAGAUGGAUCUGCGUUGUAUUAGGUAGUAGGUAGGGUAAUGGCCUACCAAGGCAACGCUACAUAGCCGACCUUAGAGGGGGGUCUGCCACACUGGGACUGAGAACCGGCCCAGACUCCGUCGGGGGGCAGCAGUAGGGAAUCUUCGGCAAUGGGGGGAACCCUGACCGAGCAACGCCGCGUGAGUGAAGGAGGUUUUCGGAUCGUAAAGCUCUGUUGUUAAGGAAGCGGUACUUAACCAGAAAGGGACGGCUAACUACGUGCCAGCCGCCGCGGUAAUUC